rnacentral:rRNA from 1 species
GACGGGGCCCGGCACAAGCGGUGGAGUAUGUGGUUUAAUUCGAUGCAACGCGAAGAACCUUACCUGGUCUUGACAUCCCGGAGACCCUUAGGAAACUAGGGGUGCUUCCAUCUGGAAGAAUCUGGAGACAGGUGCUGCAUGGCUGUCGUCAGCUCGUGUCGUGAGAUGUUGGGUUAAGUCCCGCAACGAGCGCAACCCUUGCCUUUAGUUGCCAGCAGUUCGGCUGGGCACUCUAAAGGGACUGCCGGUGUUAAACCGGAGGAAGGUGGGGAUGACGUCAAGUCCUCAUGGCCUUUAUGACCAGGGCUACACACGUACUACAAUGGCCGAUACAAAGGGCAGCGACACUGCGAGGUGAAGCCAAUCCCGUAAAAUCGGUCUCAGUCCGGAUUGGAGUCUGCAACUCGACUCCAUGAAGUUGGAAUCGCUAGUAAUCGUGGAUCAGCAUGCCACGGUGAAUACGUUCCCGGGCCUU